rnacentral:lncRNA from 1 species
ACGGUUCAAUUUUUUUCUAGGAGUUAUGCCCCUUUGAACUUAUUUGCUUCAAUGUACUUCUGCAACAGUUUUUCAUCUCAACUCCUCUGAAAACACACAACAGAAUUUCAUGAAAUUUUGUAGAUAAUAAGGACAUACUAUGUAUAUUGACAGGAAAUUAUUAUUCAAUAUUUUUUCUUAUAUAAUUUUUUUUUCUUAUACUUAUUUAAUUUCUCCAAUGAUAAUGUGGGGACGUGGGGUAUGUGAGCGUGCUCACUAAGGUUCUUUAAUUUCCAUGUAUGUCCUUCUACUAUGUAAAUCAAGAAAAUAUUCCAAAAAAUGGGAAACAAUUGUAUCGAAAAGAGAAAAUCGAGUGCACCUUUUUUAUGUUAGAGUGUGUUUGAGAUGAAUAUUUUGUCUGGAAAACGUACAAUGCAAGAGUAUUUGAUACAUCAUCUCGCU